rnacentral:rRNA from 1 species
GAUGAACGCUGGCGGCGUGCCUAAUACAUGCAAGUCGAGCGAACAGAUGAGGAGCUUGCUCCUCUGACGUUAGCGGCGGACGGGUGAGUAACACGUGGAUAACCUACCUAUAAGACUGGGAUAACUUCGGGAAACCGGAGCUAAUACCGGAUAAUAUAUUGAACCGCAUGGUUCAAUAGUGAAAGACGGUUUUGCUGUCACUUAUAGAUGGAUCCGCGCCGCAUUAGCUAGUUGGUAAGGUAACGGCUUACCAAGGCAACGAUGCAUAGCCGACCUGAGAGGGUGAUCGGCCACACUGGAACUGAGACACGGUCCAGACUCCUACGGGAGGCAGCAGUAGGGAAUCUUCCGCAAAGGGCGAAAGCCUGACGGAGCAACGCCGCGUGAGUGAUGAAGGUCUUCGGAUCGUAAAACUCUGUUAUUAGGGAAGAACAUAUGUGUAAGUAACUAUGCACGUCUUGACGGUACCUAAUCAGAAAGCCACGGCUAACUACGUG